UACAGAGGUCUCAAGCGUUGUUCGGAUUCAUUGGGCGUAAAGGGCGCGUAGGCUGCGGGGCAAGUCGGGUGUGAAAUCUCAGAGCUCAACUCUGAAACUGCACUCGAUACUGCUUUGCUUGAGGACUGGAGAGGAGAUUGGAAUUCACGGUGUAGCAGUGAAAUGCGUAGAUAUCGUGAGGAAGACCAGUGGCGAAGGCGGAUCUCUGGACAGUUCCUGACGCUGAGGAGCGAAAGCGUGGGGAGCGAACAGG
rnacentral:rRNA from 1 species